rnacentral:rRNA from 1 species
AUGGAGAAGCUCCGCAUCCACCACUGCGGCGGCCGCGCGGUCGCCUGGGCCCCCUCCCCCAUCGUCGCCCUCGCCACCUCCCCCUGCGCCUCCCAGGUCGCCGCCGCGCGGGAGGACGGCUCCCUCGAGCUCUGGCUCGUCUCCCCCGGCUCGGUCGGGUGGCACAACCAGCUCACUAUACAGGGAGGCGCGGAGUCGAGGGUCACAUCGCUUGUGUGGGUGCCAAAUGGCGCAGGGGGCCGUCUGCUCUCUUCCAGCGUUGAUGGGUCGGUGGCUGAAUGGGAUCUCUUCCACCUGCAGCAAAAGACUGUCCUAGAUACUGUUGGGGUACCGGUCUGGCAGAUGGCCAUGGAGCCUACGGAUGAUCAAUUGAUUUCUGGAAAUAAAAGCUCAGGAUGUGCUGUGAAUGGCCAUGCAAAUCAUAAUGGAUCCACCGACUCUGAAUUAAGUUAUGUUGAUGAUGGUCAGAGCUCCGAUGAUGAAGAUGAUUCUGCCAAGACAAGCUCUUCGUAUCGUGUGAAUGAAUUUCCGCGUUUGGCUCUGGCAUGUGACGAUGGUUCUGUACGCUUGUAUAAUGUGCCUGAAUCUGGCCCGCUGACCUACUAUAGAUCUCUUCCAAGAGUGAGCGGACGAGUUUUGAGUGUAACAUGGAGUAAUAAUGCCAAAUUCAUAUUUUCGGGAAGCAGCGAUGGAUUAAUCAGAUGCUGGGAUUCAACAAUUUUCCAUGAAAAGUAUCGCAUCACUGCUGGAUUAGGGGGUGCUGGUAGUGGAAGUGAAUUUUGUAUAUGGUCAUUACUAUUUCUAAGGUGCGGAACCCUUGUUAGCGGAGAUAGUUCUGGGAGCGUUCAAUUUUGGGAUAACCGCCAUGGAACUCUUCUGCAAGCCCACACUUACCAUAAAGGCGAUGUUAAUGCACUAGCAACUGUGCCUAGUCAGAACCGGGUAUUUUCUGCAGGAUCUGAUGGGCAGGUAAUUUUGUACAAGGCAUCAAAAAAUGAGUUCAGUGCUCAUAAUGAGAAGGUGGCUGAAGAGCAAAUGCACAAGUGGGUCUAUGUGGGAUAUGUUAGGGCCCACUCUCAUGAUGUAAGGGCAUUGACUAUGGCCGUACCAAUAUGCAAAGAAGAUGCUGUACCAGAGGAAAAGGUGGUAAAGGUUCGCCGCAAGGAUGAAUUCAGUUACCGCAAGUGGGCACAUCUGGGUGUACCGAUGCUCAUUUCUGGUGGGGAUGACACCAAGCUGUUUGCUUAUUCUGCACGGGAGUUUACUCUAUAUGCACCUCAUAACUUCUGCCCUGCACCUCAACGUCCAUUGAUAAAUUUAGCAAGAGAUUGCACAGUUAACGGAGAUUCUGUGAUGCUUGUCCAGUCUGUCAACUGCUUGGACGUUCUACUUGUAUCAGUUAAGAACAAACUGACUCCAAGUACAUCAUCCGGAGGAGAUGCUACGAUACGACAAGUUGUUCAUCUUAAAAGCAAGGGGUCUAGAAAAAUAAUAGCAAGUGCUGUCUCUACCAAUGGAAUGCUAUUUGCCUAUUCGGAUUGUGUAAAGCCCUGCCUUUUCGCACUAAGACACAAGGGCGGAAAAAAGUUCUCGCUAGACAAAAUAGAGUUGCCAAAGGGAAUACCAUGCUCUCAGAGCAUGAUGUUCACUGAUGAUUCAUCCAGUCUGGUUCUAUCUUGCAAUGAUGGGAAAAUUUAUGUUGUGGAUAUUGCGUCAAGAAAAAUUUCAAAUAUAUUUCGCCCUACAAGAAAGAUAGAUGGAACAAAAACUUCUUCCAAAGAACCACCUGUCACAAAAAUGUUUGUGAGUGCUGAUGGGCAGUGGGUGGCUGCAGCUAACUGCUUUGGGGAUGUCUACAUAUUUAACCUUGAGGUCCAGAGGCAACACUGGUUCAUACCGAGAAUGAAUGGUGGCUCGGUUACAUCUGGUGGCUUUUGUCCCAAGAACAAUGCCCUUGUUAUAACUACAUCUAAAAAUGAGGUUUAUGUAUUUGAUGUGGAAGCAAAAGAACUGGGCGAAUGGUCUAAGCGUCAUACACAUGAAUUACCCACAAGAUUCCAAGACUUCCCUGGAGAGGUCAUUGGCCUCUCAUUUCAUAAAAUGAGCCCAUUUUCAGUCAUGAUAUACAGUGCCAGGGCAAUGUGCGUUAUUGAUUUUGGAUUGCCAGUUGUUCAGGAUGUCCAAUUGUCAACAUCAGAAAAGACAGACUCACAAAAGGCUGCGAAAACAAAGGUUAAGCGGAAGCAUCGUGACGAAGAUUUGAAACAAGAGAAAAGGAGUAACUUCACCUUCUUUGCAUUUAAAGAUCCGGUGCUGUUUGCUGGCCACCUACUGGACAGUUCAAUUCUGGUAGUAGAGAAGCAAUGGAUGGAUGUCGUCCAAGGAUUCGGCCCACCGGUCCACAGACACAUAUACGGGACAUGA